AUUAGUCAAAGAGUCUGAGUUUCGGGGCGCCCCCCCAUCGAGUCAUCCGGCCCCCCCUGCGCCCCAGAGGCGGGGGCUCCCCAGAGCAGGGCAGGGGGUCCCCUAGAGGCCAGCACCCCCUGACCCACCAGAGCGGUUUAUGAAUACCCUCAGUGCUCUCUCACCACCAGCUGCAAAGAACCAUCUGUUUUCACACAAUGGCUGCUUCUACACUGGCAAAGCUGGGACCCCCUAUUUUACCCCCACCCUACUACUGCAGUACUGCUGGUGGAACUGAGAUGCAUAGACAGGGCUCAGCUUAGUCUGUACAUUUUUAUCACUAUGCCAUCAGCUACCAUGCUCUAAGCUCCACUGCUACCUCUAACAUCACUACCCCUGGUUGGAGUAUUCCAGAUUCCAUUUUUGCCCAUGUGGACAAGACACAAAAGGAGGACUGGAUUGCACUUUUUACCUGCAAGCAAAAGCAAACUACAUGGAGUAGUGGCCACUCCCAAGUACUUCAGAGGAAAUGAAAAGGGCAAUUCCUGAGUGAUCCAUCUGUCAUCCAGUCCCAGCAUCUGGCAGUCAGAGGCUUUGCAACACCAAGUAUCCAGUUGCAUCCUGGACCACCUUAGCUAAUUGUCACCAAUGGUCACCAAUGGAUCUAUUCUUAAUGAUCUAGAUUUCUUUUGAGCCCCGUGAUCAUUCUGGCAUUCACAACAGUCCCCCAGGAAAAGAGUGCCACAGCUUGACUCUGUGCUGUGUGAAGCAUUUCCUUUUGUUUUAAACCUGCUGCCUGCUAGUUUUGUCAACUGAUUGGAUCAUUGAACUGGAUUAGUUAUUUCUUGGGGGAGGG